GCUCAGGACGAACGCUGGCGGCGUGCCUAAUACAUGCAAGUCGAACGCUUCCUACCGGUGCUUGCACCGGGAAAGAAGAGUGGCGGACGGGUGAGUAACACGUGGGUAACCUACCUACAAGCGGGGGAUAACAUUCGGAAACGGAUGCUAAUACCGCAUAGAUCUUUUUGUCUCCUGGCAGAAAGAAGAAAGACGGUUUCGGCUGUCACUUGAAGAUGGACCCGCGGCGCAUUAGUUAGUUGGUGAGGUAAUGGCUCACCAAGACGAUGAUGCGUAGCCGACCUGAGAGGGNGAUCGGCCACACUGGGACUGAAGACACGGCCCAGACUCCUACGAGGAGACAGCAGUAGGGAAUCUUCCGCAAUGGACGAAAGUCUGACGGAGCAACGCCGCGUGAGUGAAGAAGGUUUUCGGAUCGUAAAACUCUGUUGUUAGAGAAGAACAAGGAUGAGAGUAACUGCUCGUCCCUUGACGGUAUCUAACCAGAAAGCCAUGGCUAACUACGUGCCAGCAGCCGCGGUAAUACGUAGAUGGCAAGCGUUGUCCGGAUUUAUUGGGCGUAAAGCGAGCGCAGGCGGUUCUUUAAGUCUGAUGUGAAAGACCCCUGGCUCAACCAGGGAGGGUCAUUGGAAACUGGAGAACUUGAGUGCAGAAGAGGAAAGUGGAAUUCCAUGUGUAGCGGUGAAAUGCGUAGAUAUAUGGAGGAACACCAGUGGCGAAGGCGACUUUCUGGUCUGUAACGACGCUGAGGCUCGANAGCAGUGNGGAGCAAACAGGAUUAGAUACCCUGGUAGUCCAUNCCGUAAACGAUGAGUGCUAAGUGUUGGAGGGUUUCCGCCCNUCAGUGCUGGCAGCUAACGCAUUAAGCACUCCGCCUGGGGAGUACGACCGCAAGGUUGAAACUCAAAGGAAUUGACGGGGGCCCGCACAAGCGGUGGAGCAUGUGGNUUAAUUCGAAGCAACGCGAAGAACCUUACCAGGUCUUGACAUCCUUUGACCACUCUAGAGAUAGAGCUUUCCCUUCGGGGACAAAGUGACAGGUGGUGCAUGGUGUCGUCAGCUCGUGUCGUGAGAUGUUGGGUUAAGUCCCGCAACGAGCGCAACCCUUGAGAUUAGUUGCCAGCAUUCAGUUGGGCACUCUAAUCUGACUGCCGGUGACAAACCGGAGGAAGGUGGGGAUGACGUCAAAUCAUCAUGCCCCUUAUGACCUGGGCUACACACGUGCUACAAUGGAUGGAACAAAGGGCAGCGAAACCGUGAGGGCAAGCAAAUCCCAUAAAACCAUUCUCAGUUCGGAUUGCAGGCUGCAACUCGCCUGCAUGAAGCCGGAAUCGCUAGUAAUCGCGGAUCAGCAUGCUGCGGUGAAUACGUUCCCGGGUCUUGUACACACCGCCCGUCACACCACGAGAGUUGGUAACACCCGAAGUCGGUGAGGUAACACAAUACGUGAGCCAGCCGCCGAAGGUGGGACCAAUGAUUGGGGUGAAGUCGUAACAAGGUAACCGU
rnacentral:rRNA from 1 species